GACGAACGCUGGCGGCGUGCUUAACACAUGCAAGUCGAACGGAAAGGCCCUGCUUUUGUGGGGUGCUCGAGUGGCGAACGGGUGAGUAACACGUGAGUAACCUGCCCUUGACUUUGGGAUAACUUCAGGAAACUGGGGCUAAUACCGGAUAGGAGCUCCUGCUGCAUGGUGGGGGUUGGAAAGUUUCGGCGGUUGGGGAUGGACUCGCGGCUUAUCAGCUUGUUGGUGGGGUAGUGGCUUACCAAGGCUUUGACGGGUAGCCGGCCUGAGAGGGUGACCGGCCACAUGAGGACUGAGAUACGGCCCAGACUCCUACGGGAGGCAGCAGUGGGGAAUAUUGCACAAUGGGCGGAAGCCUGAUGCAGCAACGCCGCGUGCGGGAUGACGGCCUUCGGGUUGUAAACCGCUUUCGCCUGUGACGAAGCGUGAGUGACGGUAAUGGGUAAAGAAGCACCGGCUAACUACGUG
rnacentral:rRNA from 1 species